UGUCAUAUUUGCCCCAGGGAUGAUAGCAAAAGAAGCUGAUUGCUACCUAUCUCAGAUACCAGGAAACCCCAAAAUGACAGAAAUUCAAAAGGUUGUGCUCAUGGGAACUGCCCAUAUCCUACGUAAAAUACUGUCUAUGUAAUCCCAAAUUUUAAAACAA